ACAAGAUACAGCAAGAUCUUCUUAAAGGCUCUGGAAUCAGACAUUUUUUCAGUGAUUUCACUACCGCUUUUGUUUUGGUGAAAGCAAUCCCUAAAUUAAAGGAUAUUGAAGCCAUCCAUCUGCAAAGGAACAUCCAUCUGUAGAAUAAAUUCUUCAUGCAACAAGUAUGAGACAACUUUUAAAUCACAUCAAGUAUGGAAAAUACCCAGAGGCAAAAAGCUUCUCCCAAACUGAUUUUCUUUCUUCAUUGCACUGGCCUGGC